GCCAAAGGAGGAAGAAUGGAAACCUGAAAUCAUUGAAAUAUUUCAUAUAAACAUAAAUCUUAAAAAUGUUUCAACAGAUUUAAGCAAUCAUAUAUUUUUUGUUGUGCCAUGUUCAGACAUGUAAUGAGGAACAGCUUCUGAAUUAUAGACCUAAGCUUAGGUUAUAAAAUGUAAAAUAACACAUUCCAAAGUCAGUUAUAGUUAUAACCAAUGCUUUGAUAAUAUUACAUGUUAAUUUCCCAAGUAGCUAAGGAAUUAGCUAAACAAAUAUAUGCCAUUAUUUUAGGAUAACAAAGAAUCACACCAAUGCAUUCUGCACAAUACAGUUGAGGAUCUCCUGAGCUCAACGCUAUCGAUGUGCUAUAAUAACCAAGAAAGAGAUCGAUCCCUUUCAAAUAGUGAAAUUCAUCUUCCUCAUUCACCAUUGUUUAAAGUACAAGCAGUUUUGAGUUUCUAUCCUUAGUAGCUAAUCAGACCUUAAGACUGAGUUCUAAGCAGAAUUGUGCACAUUCUUCUCCUAUAAUACUUGCGUUGUCUUUUUAACAUUUUUUAUGCUAGAAGAUACAUGCAGGUGUCAAUUUAGAUUUAAAAAAACAUAUAUCAAAAUACAUGGUAUGUAGGAAGCUAAUACCAACCUAUAUUUGAUGUUGAACCAUGUGAUUUCUGGCACAUGAAGGACACUUUCCUUAAAAUCAUAACUUUCCUAGUCCAUGCAGCUUCUGUCAAAUUUAA
rnacentral:misc_RNA from 1 species